CUUAAACGGAUUUCUUCGGAUUGAAGUUUUUGCGACUGAGUGGCGGACGGGUGAGUAACGCGUGGGUGACCUGCCCCAUACCGGGGGAUAACAGCUGGAAACGGCUGCUAAUACCGCAUAAGCGCACAGAGCUGCAUGGCUCGGUGUGAAAAACUCCGGUGGUAUGGGAUGGGCCCGCGUCUGAUUAGGCAGUUGGCGGGGUAACGGCCCACCAAACCGACGAUCAGUAGCCGGCCUGAGAGGGCGACCGGCCACAUUGGGACUGAGACACGGCCCAAACUCC
rnacentral:rRNA from 1 species